rnacentral:rRNA from 1 species
GUCGAGCGGGAGGACUGCCAGGAGGACGAGGAGGAGACCGGUGGGUCUCCCCUGUACCGCGACUGGCCGCCGGUGCCCAAGCGGCGGAGGACGGCCGUCUCGUUGUCGCCGCCGAGCUCCUCCGCGGAGCAUCACCACGGGAACGGAGGGGCAGCCUGUACGGAGGUUGCGGCUGCUCUGGAUAGGCUGGCGGGGACGUACGAGCAGGCUGAGGCGGCCAAGCAGAUGGAGGCGACACGGCUGGAGGACCGCCGCCUGGAGGCCAUGCGGGAGGUGGCAGCCAUGGAGAGGAGGGGAGGGGCUGCGAUGACUAACCACCGGGGAGAAGUCCAGUAUGCCGGAGGAGAUAGCCGGUGUCAAGGCGUCGGGCGGGGCGGCGUCUUGGGAGGAGUUGGCGCGGCGACUUGGGGAGGAGUCGCGGCAGCGUGUCUGAGUCGAGCGGCGGCGAGGAGUCGCGGCGGCGUGUCGAGUCGAGUCGGGUGA